GACAGAGGGUGCAACCGUUGCUCGGAAUUACUGGGCGUAAAGCGCGUGUAGGCGGGUCGGAAAGUCGGGCGGGAAAUCCCCAGGCUCAACCUGGGAACUGCACUCGAAACUUCCGGUCUAGAGUGGUGGAGAGGGAAGUGGAAUUCCAGGUGUAGCGGUGAAAUGCGUAGAGAUGUGGAGGAACACCAGUGGCGAAGGCGACUCUUUGGCCUGUAACUGACGCUGAGGCGCGAAAGCGUGGGGAGCAAACAGG
rnacentral:rRNA from 1 species